AAAUGAUCUUAUUAUGUUUUAAAAGCAUUCAUUAAGACUUAGUGACUUUAAAGCCCGGCUCCAUCAAUUGUCUUCUCCUUCGUCAUCUAUAUUGCCCGAAUACAGGGAAUCUUACAGAUAGUAACUUCCAGGUGCCAGCUGUAGGUGUAUUAGAAUGUAACCAUCUUCCCAGGAGACCCCCAACUGAUGGCUCCCGACCUCCAGGGACCCAGCUAAGACUCCAAAGCACUUCAGCCUCAUUAAAGGAGCUGAUCUGUGCAUCUGUCCUCUGGGAUACAGAAUAUUACCUCACUCUUCUUCCAUCAGAACUUAAUUUAUCUCUGAGUAAAUCCAGAAGGUCACCUUUUCGGAUCCAGCUCCAUUAUAACCAGCCUUUCCUCCACCAGACGCCCAGCUGCAGACAAACUUAACCCAAAACCCUGCAGUUGAACCUGCCCGCGCAUCAACCCCAAACGCCGGCUAGUGCGGAGCUGGGAGCCGGGAGCCGGAUCGGCCUGAGCGCAUACACGAAGUCCUCGGCGGCUCCAGGCGUUCUCGCCGCGUUACCGCGGAAGCAUCUCCUCUCGCGGGAGUGAUUUGAAGCCCGGCGGAAACCGGGCUUGCCAGGGCUGAGUCUGAGGGGACGGUCGCGAGCUGCAGCUCGGAGCGCGUGGGCCGGGGAGAAGCAGCUGCUGAUGAACAAGGGCUCUCAGGCGGGCUGUCGCAGCAGCAGCAGCAGCAGCGCCAGAGCCACCGGCUGAUGGUGGAUCCACUCCGCUUCCAGGAUCAGCCGCGACCCAGGCGAUAAAUCCUAAUAAAUCCCAGAGUGACGCACAGCCCCUGUGCGAGUAUCUAUGAGACUGUUGACGUUUGGAUUCCGGUUUACCUUGUCUAUUUACUUAGAAUACUAUAGUGUUUUUGAUAAUCACAGUAGUCUUGUGUGGCCUUUUAGGUUAAGACAACCAUUGAUUAAAAAAAAAAAACCUAUAAAUUCAUUAAUUAGAUGUACAUAUGUAUCUUUCCCUGUAAUGAUUUUUAAUAAAACACAUUUUGAAAUCACU
ensembl:lincRNA Gm42555 predicted gene 42555